CAUUAGAGCGCUGGCAUCAGACACUUAAAGCAACGCUGCAGAAAUACUGCUUGGAUACUGGAAAAGAGUGGGAUGAGGGAGUACCCCUGAUGGUGUUUGCCAUACGCGAAGCUAAGCAAGAAUCUCUUGGGUUUAGCCCAAAUGAACUAGUGUUUGGUCAUUCUGUUCGGGGACCUUUAAAGUUGUUGAAAGAACAGUUCUUGUCAACAGACCCUGUUGGGAAAACUAAUGUUCUGGAUUAUGUUUCACAGUUCAGAGAGCGCCUCUAUAAGGCCAGGUUGGCUGCUGCAGAAGCCCUCUCCUCUGCUCAGGGGAAGAUGAAGAGUUGGUAUGAUAAGAAAGCCGUUCCUCGAUCUUUCAAUCCAGGACUGAGAUUGAGUUUAGAUGAAGAUGGGCUCAAGCUUUGUGAUGCCAGCUACCAGAGUGCCAGAAUGCUUAAUUCUGAGGUACUGUCCCAGUUGUCUACAUAUCUUUCUCACGUGACCCGUGAGCAACAGUUAGACAUUGAAAGGCUUGUCAACAUUCAUUUAAGACUCUUUGGGGACAUGCCUUCCCAGACUACUGUAAUAGAGCACGACAUUGAUGUUGGGAAUGCAGUGCCUAUUAAGCAGCAUGCUUAUCGGGUGAAUAUGGCAAAAAGAGAAAUGAUAAACAAAGAAGUAGACUACCUUUUGAAGCAUGGAUUAGCUAUUCCAAGCUACAGUCCAUGGAGCUCUCCGUGCCUGGUAAUACCAAAAUCAGAUGGAACACCCCGUUUUUGCACCGAUUUCCGCAAGGUAAAUGCAGUAACAGUGCCUGAUUCCUACCCACUGCCCCGUAUUGAGGACUGUAUUGACAGCGUCGGAUCUGCUGCUUAUGUGAGUAAGCUUGACCUUCUUAAAGGUUAUUGGCAAGUUCCUUUGACAAAAAGAGCGUCAGAAAUCUCAGCUUUCGUAACAUCUGAUCACUUUUUACAAUAUACAGUCAUGGCAUUUGGAAUGAGAAAUGCUCCUGCUACCUUCCAGAGGUUAAUGUCAACUGUAUUAUCUGGUGUGGCAAACUGUAAUGUUUAUCUUGAUGAUGUGGUCAUAUAUUCUGCCAACUGGUCAGAGCAUGUCGACACUUUAGCCACUGUGUUCAAGCGUUUAGCUGAUGCUUCCUUGACCCUUAACUUGGCUAAAUGUGAGUUCGGUAAGGCUACAGUUAUUUAUCUUGGAAAGGAAGUUGGGCAGGGCAAGGUUCGCCCUAUUAGUGCAAAGGUUAAUGCCAUCCUCAACUUUCCUGUGCCAAUAACACGCCGUGAGCUGCGCAGAUUUUUUGGGGAUGGUUGGUUACUACAGGUGUUUCUGUAGGAAUUUUUCUGAAGUCGUAACACCCCUGACAAACCUGUGCAGCCCGAAGGUACCAUUCAUUUGGAGUCCUGAGUGUCAACAUGCUUUUGACUGUGCAAAAGGUCUUCUAUCGAGUUCACCUGUUCUUGUUGCUCCAGAUUUUUUGAAACCGUUCAAGCUUGAAGUGGAUGCCAGUGAGUUGGGGGCUGGAGCUGUUCUUCUUCAGGAUGAUGGACAAGGAGUGAGUCAUCCUAUCUGCUUCUUUGGCAAGAAGUUCGAUGCUCAUCAAAGACGGUACUCAACAAUUGAGAAGGAGACUCUGGCCAUGCUUCUGGCUCUUCAACAUUUUGACGUGUAUGUGGGAUCUACUUCCCAACCUGUAGAGGUCUAUACUGAUCACAAUCCUCUCGUGUUCCUCUCUCGUAUGUAUAACAACAAUCAGCGACUGAUGAGGUGGGCUUUAAUUUUACAAAAUUACAACAUUGACAUAAAGCAUAAGAGAGGAUGUGACAACAUUGUGGCAGAUGCCCUUUCAAGAACGUGAUGGUGUAAGGUUAACAAACUUAUACGUUUGUUCUUCUGGGUGGGGGUGUUACAUCCCCCAGGAGGAUGUCUCUUCUCCCUACUGACCUUUGUUUUGUCUAGGCUCCACCUCCUCUGUCCUGAUUGGAUGCUGCUCGGAGUCCAGCUAAUUGUUAAUUAGCAGAGCACUACUUAAGGCCUAGGUUGCUGUGUUUCUGGGCCCUCAGGCCAUUUUGGUUGCCAUACCUGUGCUGACAGUAUGUGACUUGUAGGUGCUUGUUCUGACUGCUUGUAGGGGAGAGCUGCCUUUUGUUUUGACAUCCUGUUUUCUCCUGUUUAUGUGUGGUUAGGUAGGUUAUGGUUAUAGGUUGCAUAUUUUGUUUUCUUUGGAGUUAGGUGUGUAUUUUAUUUUUACAUUAGGGAUGUUUUGUUUGUUAUGUUGGCCUUGGCUCUCCCUGAAGUUAUACCUCAGUCUGAACCCAAAUCUCAUCACCUGCAUUAAAUAAACCUUUUAGAUUUAC